rnacentral:rRNA from 1 species
GAGUUUGAUCGUGGCUCAGAUUGAACGCUGGCGGCAGGCCUAACACAUGCAAGUCGAGCGGUAGAGAGAAGCUUGCUUCUCUUGAGAGCGGCGGACGGGUGAGUAAUGCCUAGGAAUCUGCCCGGUAGUGGGGGAUAACGCUCGGAAACGGACGCUAAUACCGCAUACGUCCUACGGGAGAAAGCAGGGGACCUUCGGGCCUUGCGCUAUCAGAUGAGCCUAGGUCGGAUUAGCUAGUUGGUGAGGUAAUGGCUCACCAAGGCGACGAUCCGUAACUGGUCUGAGAGGAUGAUCAGUCACACUGGAACUGAGACACGGUCCAGACUCCUACGGGAGGCAGCAGUGGGGAAUAUUGGACAAUGGGCGAAAGCCUGAUCCAGCCAUGCCGCGUGUGUGAAGAAGGUCUUCGGAUUGUAAAGCACUUUAAGUUGGGAGGAAGGGCAGUAAAUUAAUACUUUGCUGUUUUGACGUUACCGACAGAAUAAGCACCGGCUAACUCUGUGCCAGCCGCCGACGG